UUUACACCGGAGGGCCACUGUGUCAAGUCUGUUCCGUUUUCUCCCCAUUUGAAUGUGCAGUGGUUCAUUUGGCUGGUGGUGAAAAACAGGUCAACCUGACAAGCAAGGCCUACCUAAAGCCCUGGAGAGAAACUGCCCACUGAUCCAAAAGACCUGACCACCAAAGGCGUCAACAUCAGAUUACAAAUUCAAAGUACUGAAGGUCCUGAAGUGUUCUUCCAGAACAUGAGUGAUGUUGCUGGAAGAACAAAUUGCCUGCCAUGGACUGAGGGAUAUCCCCAAUGCCUUUGCAGUAAUGAUGGAUCUGCUGUAUGCUCUUAACAUUGAUUACCCGAAGGAGUUAAAAUACACAUUUGAGGUGAUUCAGAAAAUUAUCAUGAACUUUGGGGGUGAGGGCUGCUCUGCCAGGGUAAAUAGCCUUCGCAACAACAUGCUUAAGCACUGAAACUGUCAACAAAAAAGCAAAGGAAAAUGUAUGACCAAUGAAGGGUACACAGUAUCAAAAAAGCUAAAUAAGGCAAAUUACGUUAAAAAGCCUUUAAUAGAGCUAAGAACAUGGUAAACACUAAGGUAAACACUUUUCUUUUUUGUAUACCAGUAAACACUAAGGUAAACACUUUUCUUUUUUGUAUACCAGUUUAGCGUUUAUUAAAACAUCUGAUUGAUGUUUUUUUACUUAAGGACUUCCAGUUUCAGAUGGUUAAUAGUAAUAUUAAACUUGUUGCCAUUAAAAUACAUUGUGAUUUCAGCUGUUGCACAAUGAAAAUUCUAAUGUCAAUUUUUUUUUUUUCCAAAUGAACGUCAAGUUGUUUUGGUGUCUGUUUCAACAGAGCACCUUUUCCCUUAUUGAGUAUAGUUGUUUCACAAAGAAUAUACAUGGUUUUGUGUUUGUUGCUUUUACGAUUCAAGAACAAGCAAAUUUGUGAUUUUAGCUGUUGUACAAUGGAAAUUCCAAUGUCAAUAAGUUGUUUUUUAACAUAAAAUAAUGUCAAGUUCUUUUGGCGUCUGUGUCAACAGAGAUUUUCCCUUUAUAGUGCGUAUUGUUUAACAAAUAAUAUUGAGUGUUUACAUCCAACAAUGCAUUGUUUUGUGUUUGUCGCUUUUUCAAGAACAGGCAAAUCGUAUCUCCCUUUAUUGGAGCUUUUAUGCACUUGUAUUUGUUUUAGUCUGAACAUGGAACAUGAAGUUAUAAUGAACAAUAACUUGAAAAAUGUUUUGACAUUAAGUGCCCUUUUUAUUUUGGCAUAAACAAUUGGAACAAUUUAUUGCACAGGAAA
ensembl:lncRNA